rnacentral:rRNA from 1 species
ACAUCCAGAGAACUUGGCAGAGAUGCCUUGUGCCUUCGGGACCUCUGAGACAGGUGCUGCAUGGCUGUCGUCAGCUCGUGUUGUGAAAUGUUGGGUUAAGUCCCGNAACGAGCGCAACCCCUAUCCUUUGUUGCCAGCGAUUCGGUCGGGAACUCAAAGGAGACUGCCGGUGAUAAACCGGAGGAAGGUGGGGAUGACGUCAAGUCAUCAUGGCCCUUACGAGUAGGGCUACACACGUGCUACAAUGGCGCAUACAAAGAGAAGCGACCUCGCGAGAGCAAGCGGACCUCAUAAAGUGCGUCGUAGUCCGGAUCGGAGUCUGCAACUCGACUCCGUGAAGUCGGAAUCGCUAGUAAUCGUAGAUCAGAAUGCUACGGUGAAUACGUUCCCGGGCCUUGUACACACCGCCCGUCACACCAUGGGAGUGGGUUGCAAAAGAAGUAGAUAGCUUAACCUUCGGGAGGGCGUUUACCACUUUGUGAUUCAUGACUGGGGUGAAGUCGUAACAAGGUAGGCGUAGCGAG